rnacentral:rRNA from 1 species
AGAGUUUGAUCCUGGCUCAGGACGAACGCUGGCGGCGUGCUUAACACAUGCAAGUCGAACGGAAAGGCCCUGCUUUUGUGGGGUGCUCGAGUGGCGAACGGGUGAGUAACACGUGAGUAACCUGCCCUUGACUUUGGGAUAACUUCAGGAAACUGGGGCUAAUACCGGAUAGGAGCUCCUGCUGCAUGGUGGGGGUUGGAAAGUUUCGGCGGUUGGGGAUGGACUCGCGGCUUAUCAGCUUGUUGGUGGGGUAGUGGCUUACCAAGGCUUUGACGGGUAGCCGGCCUGAGAGGGUGACCGGCCACAUUGGGACUGAGAUACGGCCCAGACUCCUACGGGAGGCAGCAGUGGGGAAUAUUGCACAAUGGGCGGAAGCCUGAUGCAGCAACGCCGCGUGCGGGAUGACGGCCUUCGGGUUGUAAACCGCUUUCGCCUGUGACGAAGCGUGAGUGACGGUAAUGGGUAAAGAAGCACCGGCUAACUACGUGCCAGCAGCCGCGGUGAUACGUAGGGUGCGAGCGUUGUCCGGAUUUAUUGGGCGUAAAGGGCUCGUAGGUGGUUGAUCGCGUCGGAAGUGUAAUCUUGGGGCUUAACCCUGAGCGUGCUUUCGAUACGGGUUGACUUGAGGAAGGUAGGGGAGAAUGGAAUUCCUGGUGGAGCGGUGGAAUGCGCAGAUAUCAGGAGGAACACCAGUGGCGAAGGCGGUUCUCUGGGCCUUUCCUGACGCUGAGGAGCGAAAGCGUGGGGAGCGAACAGGCUUAGAUACCCUGGUAGUCCACGCUGUAAACGGUGGGUACUAGGUGUGGGGUCCAUUCCACGGGUUCCGUGCCGUAGCUAACGCUUUAAGUACCCCGCCUGGGGAGUACGGCCGCAAGGCUAAAACUCAAAGGAAUUGACGGGGCCCCGCACAAGCGGCGGAGCAUGCGGAUUAAUUCGAUGCAACGCGUAGAACCUUACCUGGGUUUGACAUGGAUCGGGAGUGCUCAGAGAUGGGUGUGCCUCUUUUGGGGUCGGUUCACAGGUGGUGCAUGCCUGUCGUCAGCUCGUGUCGUGAGAUGUUGGGUUAAGUCCCGCAACGAGCGCAACCCUUGUUCACUGUUGCCAGCACGUUAUGGUGGGGACUCAGUGGAGACCGCCGGGGUCAACUCGGAGGAAGGUGGGGAUGACGUCAAGUCAUCAUGCCCCUUAUGUCCAGGGCUUCACGCAUGCUACAAUGGCUGGUACAGAGAGUGGCGAGCCUGUGAGGGUGAGCGAAUCUCGGAAAGCCGGUCUCAGUUCGGAUUGGGGUCUGCAACUCGACCUCAUGAAGUCGGAGUCGCUAGUAAUCGCAGAUCAGCAACGCUGCGGUGAAUACGUUCCCGGGGCUUGUACACACCGCCCGUCAAGUCAUGAAAGUUGGUAACACCCGAAGCCGGUGGCCUAACCGUUGUGGGGGAGCCGUCGAAGGUGGGACUGGUGAUUAGGACUAAGUCGUAACAAGGUAGCCGUACCGGAAGGUGCGGCUG